UUACUAUAGCCAUUAGACCCUGGGCUAUAUCUUACUAUUUAAUGAAUUAAUAAAGGAGUACAUGUAUUAUUACACCGCAACUUAAAAAUGAUGUUAUAUGUGCAUUUUAGAAUUCAUCUUUUGUGAUCUCUAUAUUUAAUUAUAUGAUUUAAACACAGUAUCCUGAGAACGGGUCCAUAGUCUUCACCUUGACUGCCAAAGGGGUCAUAAAAGGUCAGAACUUAUGCACCAGAGGAAGGUGAUUGUGAGGAGGUUACUGCAGCCUAAAGCAGGAGUGGGAAGGAAGGAGUUGCAUAAAUGACUGAUAGAUCCCAAAGGCACUUCCUGUUUCAAGGUCCUUAUGUACAUCAAUUGUAUCAUACUCCAGUUCCAGAAUUUAUACCAACUGUGACAUUCUAGGACAUGGUGCUUUUACCUAAAAAUUUCAAGUUUUCUGUCAUUUGUUUUUACAUAAAAUCACAUAGAAUGUGCAAAUAAAAAACCCAUUUACUUGGGCGUUCUGGUUA